AACCUUUCGAAACUGUGCUGAGAUUUCGUCAGACACCAACCCAUUAGGGCUGAUCAGACUUCCAAGGUAAGUGAAGUU
rnacentral:pre_miRNA from 1 species